AUUUCUGUGAGUUAUAUCUUAUAGUGGAAAAUAAAGUGCCCAAUUUUGAAUAUCUAAAAUGUCCAGCUCGGCCUACUUUGCACCUGCGAAAAUAGAAAAGUAGAUGAAGAUGUUGCGACAGUACAUCGAAAGAAUACGGGGUUCCUCGUGCAGUGACGCACAGUCCACCUAACCAUGAUGAAGGCAUUGACAAUUCUGGCAGCGAAACACAGUCUUCUUCCAAAAACUCCGAUAUUGCGCAAGUUUCUUCCAUUGCUGUAAACAUUUCUAAUGAUGUUGGUAAUUUCGUGGGACAAAAAAUUGACAAUCACGUAAAACAAAUUUUGCUUGAAAAUCCUUGGACUCCUCCAAAAAAUUAUAUAUUCCCAUUUUCGUCGAGAGUUGUUUCUGGCAAAGAAAUAAAACACUACGUCUCUUCCAAACACUUGGACUCUCAAGCAGAGUGGCUCGUACUAUCUGACGUGAGAAAGGGCUAUUCUGCAAAUAUUGUCCAUGGUUUACGCCUCGAAAUUAAGGAGGUUAUCGGGGGAAUACUCCGCUUGGGGUACUUGUCACGCAGUCGUUAACUGAUUUAAAAAAUUUGGUUGGGAUCGAAAGUGUGUUAGAAAUUCAUUCUCAAAAUAUGUACCAUUAGAAUGCAAUGGCAACUGGGAAGGACUUCGUGAGAGACUAUCACAAUCCACAACGAAGCGUCCGUAAUCUUCUCGACGAAAAGCAUCUUUCGCAAACGCAAGAGAACAGAAAACGACUUAUCCCCAUUGUGAAAACGGUCAUUUUUUGCGGAAAGCAGAAUAUUCCACUUCGUGGGCAUAAAGAUGACGGAGAUAUUCGGAAAAAUAAAACGCCUGUGCAAAUGAAGGGAAUUUCAGGGCUUUGCUGAGAUUCAGAAUCGAUGCAGGUGACACAACUCUGGAGCAUCACCUUGAGAGCACAUCUUCAGGAGCGACUUAUACCAGUAAAACGAUUCAGAACCAACAAAUUGAAUGCUGCAGGGCAGAGAUACUGGACAAAAUUUUGCAACGAGUGGCUCGUGCUGAGUUCUACACGAUUGUUUUCGGUGAAUCUCCAGAUCUGUCGGGAAAAGCUCAGAUUAGCGUUGUACGAGAAGACUUUGUAUCUUUUUUGGACGCAUUCGGUCAACUUUCGAAGAAUACUCUCGCGGAGGGCACAGAAUCAGAAGAAAGCGAGGAUGAAGAUGGAUCAAUGGCUUACAGGACUGCUGGAAAAAAUAAACGAACCGAUGAAGAAUUGUCUCUAACUGGAUCUGCCAUCGGGGGGAUGUUCUUGGAGACAUGAAGAAAAUGAAUCUCCGAAUGGAGAAAUGCGCUUCGAUAGGGACUGAUGGAUGUGCGGUCAUGCUGUCAGAUAUCGGAGCAAUCAACCUGGACAUCAGCUGGUGGCUGCUGCUGUUAGAGUCGUCCGAUUUUUAUUAAAUUUAAUUCGAAAUUCUUAAAAAUACAAGAAAUUAUAUUCCCAA